UACGAAGGGGGCUAACGUUGCUCGGAAUCACUGGGCGUAAAGGGCGCGUAGGCGGAUCUUUAAGUCGGGGGUGAAAUCCUGGAGCUCAACUCCAGAACUGCCUUUGAUACUGAAGAUCUUGAGUCCGGGAGAGGUGAGUGGAACUGCGAGUGUAGAGGUGAAAUUCGUAGAUAUUCGCAAGAACACCAGUGGCGAAGGCGGCUCACUGGCCCGGUACUGACGCUGAGGCACGAAAGCGUGGGGAGCAACAGG
rnacentral:rRNA from 1 species